GCAUUAAUGGGGUAGUGGUAACCUGGGUCGUUGCCAACAGCAGACUGUGUGGUUCGACCCGCCGGGGGUUCGAUUUCCCCUUAAUGCA